CCUGACCAGCAACGUCUCAUCUUCGCCGGAAAGCAGUUGGAAGACGGACGCACUCUCGCCGACUACAACAUCCAGAAGGAAUCCACUCUUCACCUUGUCCUACGUCUUCGUGGUGGCGCUAAGAAGCGUAAGAAGAAGACCUACACCAAGCCUAAGAAGAUCAAGCACAAGCAUAGGAAGGUGAAGCUUGCUGUUCUUCAGUUUUAUAAGGUUGAUGAUUCUGGUAAGGUGCAGAGGUUGAGGAAG
rnacentral:lncRNA from 1 species